rnacentral:rRNA from 1 species
GACAGAGGGUGCAAACGUUGCUCGGAAUCACUGGGCGUAAAGGGCGUGUAGGCGGGACGGUAAGUCGGGUCGUGAAAUCCCUAGGCUCAACCUAGGAACUGCACUCGAAACUACCAUUCUUGAGUGUCGGAGAGGAAAGCGGAAUUCCUGGUGUAGAGGUGAAAUUCGUAGAUAUCAGGAGGAACACCAGUGGCGAAGGCGGCUUUCUGGACGAUAACUGACGCUGAGACGCGAAAGCGUGGGGAGCAAACAGG